rnacentral:rRNA from 1 species
CCUACGGGGGGCAGCAGUGGGGAAUAUUGCACAAUGGGGGGAACCCUGAUGCAGCGACGCCGCGUGGGCGAUGGAGUAUUUCGGUAUGUAAAGCCCUAUCGGCAGGGAAGAAAAUGACAGUACCUGACUAAGAAGCCCCGGCUAAAUACGUGGCAGCAGCCGCGGUAAUACGUAGGGGGGAAGCGGUAUCCGGAUUCACUGGGCGUAAAGGGAGCGGAGGCGGCACGGCAAGCGUGGGGGGAAAACCCGGGGCCCAACCCCGGGAGAGCAUUGGGAACUGACGCGGUAGAGUGACGG